rnacentral:tRNA from 2 species
CAAAGCAUAGCUUAACCCAAAGCAUCUAGCUUACACCUAGAAGAUAUCAUACAAACAUGACUGCUUUGA